AACUCGACUCCAUGAAGCUGGAUUCGCUAGUAAUCGCGCAUCAGCCAUGGCGCGGUGAAUACGUUCCCGGGCCUUGUACACACCGCCCGUCAAGCCAUGGGAGCUGGGGGUGCCUGAAGUUCGUGACCGCAAGGAUCGACCUAGGGCAAAACCGGUGACUGGGGCUAAGUCGUAACAAGGUAAC
rnacentral:rRNA from 1 species